rnacentral:rRNA from 1 species
UCCAGACUCCUACGGGAGGCAGCAGUGAGGAAUAUUGGUCAAUGGCCGUAAGGCUGAACCAGCCAAGUAGCGUGAGGGAAGACUGCCCUAUGGGUUGUAAACCUCUUUUAUGCGGGGAUAAAGGUGUCCACGUGUGGAUGUUUGCAGGUACCGCAUGAAUAAGGACCGGCUAAUUCCGUGCCAGCAGCCGCGGUAAUACGGAGGAUCCGAGCGUUAUCCGGAGUGACUGGGUGUAAAGAGUUGCGUAGGUGGCAUAAUAAGUAGCUAGUGAAAUCUGGUGGCUCAACCAUUCAGACUAUUAGCUAAACUGUUAAGCUCGAGACCGUUAGGGGUAACUGGAAUUUCUAGUGUAGGAGUGAAAUCCGUAGAUAUUAGAAGGAACACCAAUAGCGUAGGCAGGUUGCUGGGACGGUUCUGACACUAAGGCACGAAAGCGUAGGGAGCAAACGGGAUUAGAUACCCCCGUA